GAUGAACGCUAGCUACAGGCUUAACACAUGCAAGUCGAGGGGCAGCAUUAGGUAGCAAUACUGAGAUGGCGACCGGCGCACGGGUGCGUAACGCGUAUCCAACUUUCCCGUUACUCUGGGAUAGCCUUCCGAAAGGGAGAUUAAUACCGGAUGGUGUUGAAAUUUCGCAUGUUAUUUCAACUAAAGAUUUAUCGGUAACGGAUAGGGAUGCGUGACAUUAGGUAGAUGGCGGGGUAACGGCCCACCAUGCCUACGAUGUCUAGGGGUUCUGAGAGGAAGGUCCCCCACACUGGAACUGAGACACGGUCCAGACUCCUACGGGAGGCAGCAGUGAGGAAUAUUGGUCAAUGGUCGGAAGGCUGAACCAGCCAAGUAGCGUGAAGGAUGAAGGUUCUAUGGAUUGUAAACUUCUUUUAUAUAGGAAUAAAACCUCCCACGAGUGGGAGCUUGUAUGUACUAUAUGAAUAAGCAUCGGCUAACUCCGUGCCAGCAGCCGCCGUAAUAC
rnacentral:rRNA from 1 species